GUUUUUUCUCUAUCUUACGAAUUACCAUACACAACAGGAAAGCAGACCACUACCAUCACACCACAUGGAAUGAGAUUUAAAAUUCUCCUACCCACUAGAGAUCAACAAGAAAAAUAGCUUGGCUUAAAAGAAUGGAUUUUUCAGCAGUGCACUUUGAGCACUGAGGCCGAAUCUGCUGUCGCCUGUGGGGAGUAAGGAGAGGCUGUGACUGGGCAGAGACCACCAGCGUCGCAGAGGGGAGUUGACUAUCUCCAGCCACCUCCAGCAACGCCCAUCUGCCCAUUCACAUGGCCCUCUGCCCUGUUCCGCAUGCAGCCUGCUUCUACAGGAGGAGACACCAAGUCAACUCACUACCUGACAUUGGGAAUCAUGUCUUAUGUUCCUGAUCACACGAGAGGUCUAUGAGAUGGCUACAGCAGGUAUCAAUUCUUGUACCUUAUUGAAACUCAGAGUCAGGUUUGCCUAAGUCAUGUGUCAGUUAUGGUGAACUUUCCCAUUUAUUCUCCACAUGCAGAAAGAUGUUAAGAUUAUGAGUCUCACCAGAAUCUUCUAGAAAUCAGGUCUGGCCAGCCUCCGGCCCUUUUCUUAUGCCUUUCUGCACUGUGCCUGCUGUUUUCUCUGCCCAGCAUGGCAGACAGCAAAGCUUUGAACUAGAAGAGAAGAUACGGCAGGAGCAAAUGAGCAAGGUUUUAUGGUGGAUUUAGGCAGAGACAGUUUUAGAUUACACAUUAAAAAGGAACUGAGAAGAGGAGGUAGGGCAAAAUGAGAGGACCAGCAGGAUGCGGAAAUAGGCGUGGUCCAGCCCCAUAGUAUCUCAAAAACCAACUCCCCACCCAUCUUAGCAGAGUCUUCCUAGAAGCAGGAGAAAGAGGACAGGGUUGCAAAAAUACGCAAAGAGCAGGUGUGGAGAACCAGCUGCAGCACUUCCAAGCAUACAGCACGGUGCUCAGGCUGUAGACGUGUCUUGGUAGUUAACAACACUUGUUCUUGGAGGUCACCCAGGUUUGAUUGAUUCCCAGUAUCUAUAUGGAGGCUCAGAACCAUGUGUAACUGUAGUUCCAGGGGAUCUGCCACCCUCUUCUUACCUCCACGGAGAGUAGGAAUGCACAUGACAUACAUAUGUACAUGCAUACAAAACAGUCAUACACAUAAAAAUAAAUAAACCUAAAAAAAAAUACAGUUCUCAACAUGGGCGUGGUGGUGGUGCACCCCUUUCAUGCCAGCACUUGAGGCAGAGGCAGAAAGGCAAAGGCAGAGAUGGUCUCUGAUCCAAUGUGUCUCACACCCUAGAGUUGAUUCUCAAGGUCCCUGAGAAGAUCUGUCGUUUUUUGGCUAGCCUAAGAAUCUAAGGCAGAAUGGAAGAGCAUAGCUAAUGAAGGUUUGAAAUCGUCCCCUUUCUCCUAUGUAUGGUUUGCAAGAGAUCCCAAUGGAGGUAGACAAUGAAGUAGGAGGCUAAUGAACUAAUAGGUUACUUGGCAUUUGUUGUCAUUUGGCCCACUCGUUCCAUCAGCACAUGCCAGGUCCAUCAUGUGUACAUAGUCUACCGUCCACGAGGAAUCCAAGACUAGAAGUCUGGACAGAGUUCUAACUGAGUCCUGCCUGGGCUGCAAUCAUUUUUUUCUCUCUUGCCUCCUUGCUUUGCUCUCUGCCUGGAGUGCCUUUGUCCUCUUCUCUACUCCUCAACUAGAUACCCUCGCGGUUUGCCCCCUCUAGAGAUUCAGAGUCACCUCCCCUGCAUCUCUUUCUUCUGGCUUCCUUGAACUCUCGUUCACAUCACUUCAUAGAAAGCUCAGCUCUCAAGGAAGCAGUACAAGCUCCAUCCUGGCAUUGUGAAAAGAUUUUUAAUUAAAAUGAUUAUGUGGC
ensembl:processed_transcript A630035G10Rik RIKEN cDNA A630035G10 gene